UACGGAGGGUGCGAGCGUUAUUCGGAAUUACUGGGCGUAAAGAGCGUGCAGGCGGGAGGGUGGGUCUGAUGUGAAAGACCGUGGCUUAACCCCGGAAGAGCAUUGGAAACUGUUCUUCUUGAGUUUCGGAGAGGAAGGGUGAAUUUCCGGUGUAGAGGUGAAAUUCGUAGAGAUCGGGAGGAACACCAGUGGCGAGUGCGCCCUUCUGUACGACAACUGACGCUGAGACGCGAAAGCGUGGGGAGCAAACAGG
rnacentral:rRNA from 1 species